AGGAGCAUUGUUAAAAUACUUUGGAGGCACAGAAUCAGCCCAGAGCCAGUCCACAUCCUCAGGCUCAACUGUGAGUGAUGAAUCAGUGCUCUCUCACACACCUCCACCCUCUGUGCCCACUGUCCCCUCCAUGUCUGAAACCACAGCUGAUUUAUCUACAACUUCCACCACAACGUCCCCUUCACACCAUGGACCAUCAUCAGCUCCGCCAGUUGACCCAGCUGAGUGGCCUUCUUUCCUCUCAGAUUCAGACAGGACUGAGCAGGUGAUCAGAGGACCACUGUCUAUUAAGGAGAACUUUUUAUUCCCCAAACGGCAUGAUGGCCGAAGUUUUCAUUAUCAUUAUACCUACAGACAGCUAGUCAAUGGAGAAAAAGUCAAGCGUAGCUGGCUGACUUAUUCAAGAAGUAAAGAUGCAGUCUAUUGCUUUUGCUGCAAAUUAUUUUCCAAAAAGUCCUAAAAACUGGCAGCCGAGGGACAGCUGG